rnacentral:rRNA from 1 species
CAGAGGGGGCAAGCGUUGUUCGGAAUUACUGGGCGUAAAGGGCGCGUAGGCGGCCUGCUAAGUCGAACGUGAAAUCCCAGGGCUCAACCCAGGAACUGCGUCCGAUACUGGUUGGCUUGAAUCCGGGAGAGGGAUGUGGAAUUCCAGGUGUAGCGGUGAAAUGCGUAGAUAUCUGGAGGAACACCGGUGGCGAAGGCGGCAUCCUGGACCGGUAUUGACGCUGAUGCGCGAAAGCCAGGGGAGCAAACGGGAUUAGAUACCCCGGUAGUCCUGGCCCUAAACGAUGAAUGCUUGGUGUGGCGGGUAUCGAUCCCUGCCGUGCCGAAGCUAACGCAUUAAGCAUUCCGCCUGGGGAGUACGGUCGCAAGGCUG